UUCCACUGGCAAUGGGCAAAGAGAUACCUUUGUGGUGGUGGCAUUCUUCUAUCAGUCAGGGGCAGAGCAGGUGGUAGUCCUUUGUCCAUCUUAGUUUGAUGCUUGACUUGGUGGCCAAAGCUAUCUUAUACCUAGAACACAUAA